UUAAGCGACUAAGCGUACACGGUGGAUGCCCUGGCAGUCAGAGGCGAUGAAGGACGUGCUAAUCUGCGAUAAGCGUCGGUAAGGUGAUAUGAACCGUUAUAACCGGCGAUUUCCGAAUGGGGAAACCCAGUGUGAUUCGUCACACUAUCAUUAACUGAAUCCAUAGGUUAAUGAGGCGAACCGGGGGAACUGAAACAUCUAAGUACCCCGAGGAAAAGAAAUCAACCGAGAUUCCCCCAGUAGCGGCGAGCGAACGGGGAGCAGCCCAGAGCCUGAAUCAGUGUGUGUGUUAGUGGAAGCGUCUGGAAAGGCGCGCGAUACAGGGUGACAGCCCCGUACACAAAAAUGCACAUGCUGUGAGCUCGAUGAGUAGGGCGGGACACGUGGUAUCCUGUCUGAAUAUGGGGGGACCAUCCUCCAAGGCUAAAUACUCCUGACUGACCGAUAGUGAACCAGUACCGUGAGGGAAAGGCGAAAAGAACCCCGGCGAGGGGAGUGAAAAAGAACCUGAAACCGUGUACGUACAAGCAGUGGGAGCACGCUUAGGCGUGUGACUGCGUACCUUUUGUAUAAUGGGUCAGCGACUUAUAUUCUGUAGCAAGGUUAACCGAAUAGGGGAGCCGAAGGGAAACCGAGUCUUAACUGGGCGUUAAGUUGCAGGGUAUAGACCCGAAACCCGGUGAUCUAGCCAUGGGCAGGUUGAAGGUUGGGUAACACUAACUGGAGGACCGAACCGACUAAUGUUGAAAAAUUAGCGGAUGACUUGUGGCUGGGGGUGAAAGGCCAAUCAAACCGGGAGAUAGCUGGUUCUCCCCGAAAGCUAUUUAGGUAGCGCCUCGUGAAUUCAUCUCCGGGGGUAGAGCACUGUUUCGGCAAGGGGGUCAUCCCGACUUACCAACCCGAUGCAAACUGCGAAUACCGGAGAAUGUUAUCACGGGAGACACACGGCGGGUGCUAACGUCCGUCGUGAAGAGGGAAACAACCCAGACCGCCAGCUAAGGUCCCAAAGUCAUGGUUAAGUGGGAAACGAUGUGGGAAGGCCCAGACAGCCAGGAUGUUGGCUUAGAAGCAGCCAUCAUUUAAAGAAAGCGUAAUAGCUCACUGGUCGAGUCGGCCUGCGCGGAAGAUGUAACGGGGCUAAACCAUGCACCGAAGCUGCGGCAGCGACGCUUAUGCGUUGUUGGGUAGGGGAGCGUUCUGUAAGCCUGCGAAGGUGUGCUGUGAGGCAUGCUGGAGGUAUCAGAAGUGCGAAUGCUGACAUAAGUAACGAUAAAGCGGGUGAAAAGCCCGCUCGCCGGAAGACCAAGGGUUCCUGUCCAACGUUAAUCGGGGCAGGGUGAGUCGACCCCUAAGGCGAGGCCGAAAGGCGUAGUCGAUGGGAAACAGGUUAAUAUUCCUGUACUUGGUGUUACUGCGAAGGGGGGACGGAGAAGGCUAUGUUGGCCGGGCGACGGUUGUCCCGGUUUAAGCGUGUAGGCUGGUUUUCCAGGCAAAUCCGGAAAAUCAAGGCUGAGGCGUGAUGACGAGGCACUACGGUGCUGAAGCAACAAAUGCCCUGCUUCCAGGAAAAGCCUCUAAGCAUCAGGUAACAUCAAAUCGUACCCCAAACCGACACAGGUGGUCAGGUAGAGAAUACCAAGGCGCUUGAGAGAACUCGGGUGAAGGAACUAGGCAAAAUGGUGCCGUAACUUCGGGAGAAGGCACGCUGAUAUGUAGGUGAAGUCCCUCGCGGAUGGAGCUGAAAUCAGUCGAAGAUACCAGCUGGCUGCAACUGUUUAUUAAAAACACAGCACUGUGCAAACACGAAAGUGGACGUAUACGGUGUGACGCCUGCCCGGUGCCGGAAGGUUAAUUGAUGGGGUUAGCGCAAGCGAAGCUCUUGAUCGAAGCCCCGGUAAACGGCGGCCGUAACUAUAACGGUCCUAAGGUAGCGAAAUUCCUUGUCGGGUAAGUUCCGACCUGCACGAAUGGCGUAAUGAUGGCCAGGCUGUCUCCACCCGAGACUCAGUGAAAUUGAACUCGCUGUGAAGAUGCAGUGUACCUGCGGCAAGACGGAAAGACCCCGUGAACCUUUACUAUAGCUUGACACUGAACAUUGAGCCUUGAUGUGUAGGAUAGGUGGGAGGCUUUGAAGUGUGGACGCCAGUCUGCAUGGAGCCGACCUUGAAAUACCACCCUUUAAUGUUUGAUGUUCUAACGUUGACCCGUAAUCCGGGUUGCGGACAGUGUCUGGUGGGUAGUUUGACUGGGGCGGUCUCCUCCUAAAGAGUAACGGAGGAGCACGAAGGUUGGCUAAUCCUGGUCGGACAUCAGGAGGUUAGUGCAAUGGCAUAAGCCAGCUUGACUGCGAGCGUGACGGCGCGAGCAGGUGCGAAAGCAGGUCAUAGUGAUCCGGUGGUUCUGAAUGGAAGGGCCAUCGCUCAACGGAUAAAAGGUACUCCGGGGAUAACAGGCUGAUACCGCCCAAGAGUUCAUAUCGACGGCGGUGUUUGGCACCUCGAUGUCGGCUCAUCACAUCCUGGGGCUGAAGUAGGUCCCAAGGGUAUGGCUGUUCGCCAUUUAAAGUGGUACGCGAGCUGGGUUUAGAACGUCGUGAGACAGUUCGGUCCCUAUCUGCCGUGGGCGCUGGAGAAUUGAGGGGGGCUGCUCCUAGUACGAGAGGACCGGAGUGGACGCAUCACUGGUGUUCGGGUUGUCAUGCCAAUGGCACUGCCCGGUAGCUAAAUGCGGAAGAGAUAAGUGCUGAAAGCAUCUAAGCACGAAACUUGCCCCGAGAUGAGUUCUCCCUGACUCCUUGAGAGUCCUGAAGGAACGUUGAAGACGACGACGUUGAUAGGCCGGGUGUGUAAGCGCAGCGAUGCGUUGAGCUAACCGGUACUAAUGAACCGUGAGGCUUAACCU
rnacentral:rRNA from 1 species